CCUACGGGAGGCAGCAGUGGGGAAUAUUGCACAAUGGGGGAAACCCUGAUGCAGCGAAGCCGCGUGAGUGAAGAAGUAUUUCGGUAUGGAAAGCUCUAUCAGCAGGGAAGAAAAUGACGGUACCUGAUUAAGAAGCCCCGGCUAACUACGUGCCCGCAGCCGCGGGACUACGUAGGGGGCAGGGGUAAUCCGGAUUUACUGGGUGUAAAGGGAGUGUAGACGGCAGCACAAGUCUGGAGUGAAAUGCCGGGGCUUAACCCCCGAAGUGCUUUGGAAACUGGGAAGCUAGAGUGCAGGAGAGGUAAGUGGAAUUCCUGGUGUAGAGGUGAAAUGCGUAGAUAUUAGGAGGAACACCAGUUGCGAAGGCGGCGUACUGGACUGUAACUGACGUUGAGGCUCGAAAGCGUGGGGAGCAAACAGGAUUAGAUACCCGGGUAGUC
rnacentral:rRNA from 1 species